GUGCUGCUCAGGUAGUGUGGGUUAUAGGAGGUGUGGGGAGCUGCAGUGAGUGUGCUGCUCAGGUAGUGUGGGUUAUAGGAGGUGUGGGGAGCUGCAGUGAGCGUGCUGCUCAGGUAGUGUGUUAUAGGAGGUGUGGGGAGCUGCAGUGAGGUGUGGGGAGCUGCAGUGAGCGUGCUGCUCAGGUAGUGUGUGUUAUAGGAGGUGUGGGGAGCUGCAGUGAGUGUGCUGCUCAGGUAGUGUGGGUUAUAGGAGGAGUGGGGAGCUGCUGUGAGUGUGUUGCUCAGGUAGUGUGUGGUUAUAGGAGGUGUGGGGAGCUGCAGUGAGGUGUGCUGCUCAGGUAGUGUGGGUUAUAGGAGGUGUGGGAGCUGCAGUGAGGGUGCUGCUCAGGUAGUGUGGGUUAUAGGAGGUGUGGGGAGCUGCAGUGAGUGUGCUGCUCAGGUAGUGUGUGUUAUAGGAGGUGUAUGAGCUGCAGGGGGGCUGCCAGGUAGUGUGUGUGUUAUAGGAGGUGUGUGAACUCCAGCUCAGGUAGUGUUGGAGUUAUAGGAGUUUUGCUCAGGUAGUGUGUGUUAUAGGAGGUGUGGGGAGCUGCAGUGAGUGUGCUGCUCAGGUAGUGUGGGUUAUAGGAGGUGUGGGGAGCUGCAGUGAGUGCUGCUCAGGUAGUGUGUGUUAUAGGAGGUGUGGGGAGCUGCAGGAGGUGUGCUCAGGUAGUGUGUGUUAUAGGAGGUGUGGGGAGCUGCAGUGAGCGUGCUGCUCAGGUAGUGUGGGUUAUAGGAGGUGUGGGGAGCUGCAGUGAGUGUGCUGCUCAGGUAAUGUGGG